rnacentral:rRNA from 1 species
AUUGAACGCUGGCGGCAUGCCUUACACAUGCAAGUCGAACGGCAGCACGGGGGCAACCCUGGUGGCGAGUGGCGAACGGGUGAGUAACAUAUCGGAACAUACCCUAGAGUGGGGGAUAACGUAGCGAAAGUUACGCUAAUACCGCAUACGAUCUAAGGAUGAAAGUGGGGGAUCUUCGGACCUCAUGCUCAUGGAGUGGCCGAUAUCUGAUUAGCUAGUUGGUGAGGUAAAGGCUCACCAAGGCGACGAUCAGUAGCUGGUUUGAGAGGAUGAUCAGCCACACUGGGACUGAGACACGGCCCAGACUCCUACGGGAGGCAGCAGUGGGGAAUAUUGGACAAUGGGCGAAAGCCUGAUCCAGCAAUGCCGCGUGAGUGAUGAAGGCCUUAGGGUUGUAAAGCUCUUUUACCCGGGAUGAUAAUGACAGUACCGGGAGAAUAAGCCCCGGCUAACUCCGUGCCAGCAGCCGCGGU